UCCAAAUUGAGACCACAAGCCGACAUUUUUUGUUUGUUUUGAGUGUAGCGCUAUUUUUUAUUAUAGUCUUUGGUCUUCAAGUUGUUCUGUCAGAGCUUUGAGGUGUGAUUGGGGUCGUUAUCAUGCUGCAGUAUGAAUCCUUCUCCACAUAGACCAAACCAGAAGGUGUAGCACCUCUCUACAAUAGAGUGCUUCCUCGUGAUCAGGUGGAGUCAAAUCUCUGCAGGUGUUCAACUCCAGAGAAGACUAACAGCACCAGACUUUAUUAAUAUUAAUAUUUCCCAUAUUCCCCCUUCUGAGAAGGGGUUUGAACACUGAUGCUCAGCCUUUGCAUUUUAGAGUUCCAUGCAUAGGUGCUCCCUUUGAAAACAAUUUUCUAGUCAGCACUUUUACACUGAUCAGGAUUCUCUUUAUAAUAAUUGAACUUCUGACAUGUUAAUUAAGUGUAUGAUUCUUUCCAGGUUUAUGUGACAAUAUUAGAGAAUGAUCAAUGUAGUAUCUGACCUUUGGUCCUCACUGUGAACUUAAAUUACUGCACAUACAUUGUGUGUCAAGUUCGCACAGACAUGCUAACUAUCCAGGCAAGUGGCUGGAACAAGCGAAAGGCAGAAAACCCUUGACCGGACACUGGCCAAAAGAUACAUCAAGGUACUAACUAGGCAAAUAUGUAUAAUAACAUUUUUGUUUUUAAAUUGUGUCUCAGCAUUUGUUAACACAGAUAUUUCUUUCGGACAAGGAUUACAGAGGCAACAAAGGACCUGGAGAAACUCACCGCUGAGUUAUCUCUACAGCAAGACACAGUCCAGCAGUGGGUGUCUGAUGUUCAGCAGUGGACCUCAGGAGCAACAAUCCAAAAUGGCCUGCAGAGGACCAUCGAGGGGCUAUAUUUGGGCAUCAAACAGCGAAAAUUUCAGCUGUAUCGUCAGUCUGGUGGGAAUAAGCGAAGGCAUCAACUGAGAAGAAAGAUUGCUGUUGAGAAGAAAGCUUGGAAGUUACAAUCAAUGACCACAAUGCUACUGUGGGGGAUGUUGAAAAACUGCCUCCUCCCAAUGAACUCCUGGCUGUGGACAACUCCUCCUUCCUCUGAAAUGCACUG